rnacentral:rRNA from 1 species
GACGAACCGUGCGAACGUUAUUCGGAAUCACUGGGCUUAAAGCGCGUGUAGGCGGAAGGGCACGUCCGUUGCUGAAAUCCCCCGGCUCAACCGGGGAACGGGCACGGAUACGACUCUUCUGGAGGGGCGUAGGGGGACCUGGAACUUCCGGUGGAGCGGUGAAAUACGUUGAGAUCGGAAGGAACGCCCGUGGCGAAAGCGAGGUCCUGGACGCCUACUGACGCUGAGACGCGAAAGCCAGGGGAGCGAACGGG